rnacentral:rRNA from 1 species
UACGUAGGCAGCGAGCGUUGUUCGGAAUUACUGGGCGUAAAGAGUGUGUAGGCGGUGCUCUAAGUUCGGUGUGAAAUCUCCUGGCUCAACUGGGAGGGUGCGCUAUAGACUGCGGGGCUCGAGUGUGGGAGAGGAAAGUGGAAUUCCUGGUGUAGCGGUGAAAUGCGUAGAUAUCAGGAGGAACACCGGUGGUGUAAACGGCUUUCUGGACCAUAACUGACGCUGAGGCACGAAAAGCGUGGGGUAGCAAAACAGG